UACGUAGGGGGCAAGCGUUGUCCGGAAUCAUUGGGCGUAAAGAGCACGUAGGCGGUCCGGUAAGUCCGCUCUGAAAGUCCGGGGCUCAACCCCGGGAGGCGGGCGGAUACUGUCGGGCUAGAGUCCGGAAGAGGCGAGUGGAAUUCCUGGUGUAGCGGUGAAAUGCGCAGAUAUCAGGAGGAACACCGAUGGCGAAGGCAGCUCGCUGGGACGGUACUGACGCUGAGGCGCGAAAGCGUGGGGAGCAAACAGG
rnacentral:rRNA from 1 species